UUUCAAGAAAAAGAAGAUACGGUGAGACCUCACCUUUUAUCCACAACAAAAAACCCAGAAGUAAUUUACGAUUAAUAACAGAUCUGUUGCCUAAUUACAACAUAACAAAUCAAUAAAAAAAAACAAAGGGCAAAUAAUAGAAAAUGAAGGAAAAUUAACAAGCAAUCAAAGAGUAAAGCAGAGAGAGAAAUGGGGUUGAAGGUAGAAAGCAUUACUUUCUCUUCUUCCUCCAUGCCUUCUUCUUGCCUCCAAUAGCAUGGCGCUUGUGCAUCGAGUCAUGUGAGAUACCUACAUAUUAUCACAUAUUCAAAACCAGUGACACACAUACAGAGAGAGUGAGAGGAAGAGAGAGAGGGGGGGGGGUUAGAGUGGUACCCAUGGUUCCGGAGUGAGAGAGAGCUUCAGCGAGACCUCCUCCUCCUCCUCCGCACUUCGUGCAAGAAAAAGGAGAGACCCGGUGGCUGCCAUAGUUGCGGUGGUAGCUUUGUGGAAAAUUGAAAAUGGUAUCUCUUUUUUCUCUUGUGCGAAGUGAAUUUGGGUGUUGU
rnacentral:lncRNA from 1 species